rnacentral:misc_RNA from 1 species
GACGAUGAUGCGGAGGGAGGUGAUGCAAGUGGAAGAUCUAAGCAGAGUCGUAGUGAGAAAAAAAGCAGGAAGGCCAUGGUGAAGCUUGGCAUGAAGUCUAUCACUGGUGUGAGCCGUGUUACUGUCAAGAAGAGCAAGAAUAUCCUUUUUGUCAUCUCCAAACCGGAUGUCUUCAAGAGCCCUACAUCCGACACCUAUGUCAUUUUUGGCGAGGCCAAGAUCGAGGACCUGAGC